UACGAAGGGGGGCUAGCGUUGUUCGGAAUUACUGGGCGUAAAGCGUAUGCAGGCGGAUCGUUAAGUCGGGGGUGAAAUCCCGAGGCUCAACCUCGGAACUGCCUUCGAUACUGGCGAUCUUGAGUCCGGGAGAGGUGAGUGGAACUCCGAGUGUAGAGGUGAAAUUCGUAGAUAUUCGGAAGAACACCAGUGGCGAAGGCGGCUCACUGGCCCGGUACUGACGCUGAGAUACGAAAAGCGUGGGGAGCAAACAGG
rnacentral:rRNA from 1 species